rnacentral:rRNA from 2 species
CAGUUGGGGAAUUGUUGGAACAAUGGGGGUCAACCCUGAUCCAGCAAAUGUCCGCGGUGUUGUGAAUGAUAGGCCUUCGGUGUUGGUAAAGGCACUUUUGGUCCGGAAGAGAAAUCGUCACGUUACUAAUAUUAGGUGUUGGAUGACGGUACCGGAAGAAUAAGGACCGGCUAACUUACGUGCCAGUCAGCCGCGGUAAUACUGUAGUGGUCCAAGCGUUAAUCGGUAAUUACUGGGCGUAAAGCGUGUCGCAGGCGGUUGUGCAUAGACUCUGAUGUGGAUAUUCCCCGGGCUUAACCUGGGCAAUUGCAUUGGUUGACUGUCACGGCUAGAGUGUGUCAGAGGGGGGUAGAAUUCCACGUGUAGCAGUGAAAUGUCGUAGAUGAUCGUGGAGGAAUACCGAUGGGCGUAAGGCAGCCCCCUGGGAUAACACUGACGUUCAUGCGACGAGAUAGCCGUGGUGGAAGCUAUAAUCAGGUAUUAGAUAUCCCUGGUAGUCCACGCCCUAUAACGAUGUCUAACUAGUUUUUGGGGAUUCAUUUCCUUAGUAACGUAGCUAACGCGUGAAGUUGACCGCCUGGGGAGUACGGUCGCAAGAUUAAUAACUCAAAUGAAUUGACGG